rnacentral:rRNA from 1 species
ACUGAACGCUGGCGGAAUGCCUUACACAUGCAAGUCGAACGGUAGAGGGGGCAACCCCUCGAGAGUGGCGAACGGGUGAGAAAUAUAUCGGAACGUGCCCAGUCGUGGGGGAUAACGUAGCGAAAGUUACGCUAAUACCGCAUACGAUCUAAGGAUGAAAGCGGGGGAUCGCAAGACCUCGCGCGAUAGGAGAGGCCGAUAUCAGAUUAGGUAGUUGGUGGGGUAAAGGCUCACCAAGCCAACGAUCUGUAGCUGGUCCGAGAGGACGACCAGCCACACUGGAACUGAGACACGGUCCAGACUCCUACGGGAGGCAGCAGUGGGGAAUUUUGGACAAUGGACGCAAGUCUGAUCCAGCCAUUCCGCGCGCAGGAUGAAGGCCCUCGGGUUGUAAACUGCUUUUGUACGGAACGAAAAGGUCUCUCUUAAUACGGGGGGCUCAUGACGGUACCGUAAGAAUAAGCACCGGCUAACUACGUGCCAGCAGCCGCCGUAA